rfam:Oryza glaberrima chromosome 6 Oglab06_unplaced010_2, whole genome shotgun sequence.
UUUAAGUGCAGCUUUCCGCGACCAAUUUUAAUCGUCCGUCUUAUUUGAAUUUUUUUUAUAAUUAGUAUUUUUGUUGUUAUGAAAUGAUAAAACAUGAAUAUUACUUUACUUAUGAUUUAUAUUUUUGAAUUUUUUUUAAAAAAAAUUAAAUAAGACGGACGGUCAAAGUUGGGCGCAGAAAACCAUGGCUGCAAUUAAA